AGUGAACGCUGGCGGUAGGCCUAACACAUGCAAGCCGAACGGCAGCACAGUAAGAGCUUGCUCUUACGGGUGGCGAGUGGCGGACGGGUGAGGAAUACAUCGGAAUCUACUUUUUCGUGGGGGAUAACGUAGGGAAACUUACGCUAAUACCGCAUACGACCUACGGGUGAAAGCAGGGGAUCUUCGGACCUUGCGCGAUUGAAUGAGCCGAUGUCGGAUUAGCUAGUUGGCGGGGUAAAGGCCCACCAAGGCGACGAUCCGUAGCUGGUCUGAGAGGAUGAUCAGCCACACUGGAACUGAGACACGGUCCAGACUCCUACGGGAGGCAGCAGUGGGGAAUAUUGGACAAUGGGCGCAAGCCUGAUCCAGCCAUACCGCGUGGGUGAAGAAGGCCUUCGGGUUGUAAAGCCCUUUUGUUGGGAAAGAAAAGCAGCAGGUUAAUACCCCGCUGCUCUGACGGUACCCAAAGAAUAAGCACCGGCUAACUUCGUG
rnacentral:rRNA from 1 species